rnacentral:rRNA from 1 species
AUUGAACGCUGGCGGCAUGCUUUACACAUGCAAGUCGAACGGCAGCACGGGGGCAACCCUGGUGGCGAGUGGCGAACGGGUGAGUAAUGCAUCGGAACGUGCCCCGUCGUGGGGGAUAACACAUCGAAAGAUGUGCUAAUACCGCAUACGACCUGAGGGUGAAAGCGGGGGACCGCAAGGCCUCGCGCGAUGGGAGCGGCCGAUGUCUGAUUAGCUAGUUGGUGGGGUAAAGGCCUACCAAGGCGACGAUCAGUAGCUGGUCUGAGAGGACGACCAGCCACACGGGGACUGAGACACGGCCCAGACUCCUACGGGAGGCAGCAGUGGGGAAUUUUGGACAAUGGGGGCAACCCUGAUCCAGCCAUGCCGCGUGCGGGAAGAAGGCCUUCGGGUUGUAAACCGCUUUUGGCAGGAACGAAACGGUGCGGGCGAAUACCCUGUGCUAAUGACGGUACCUGCAGAAUAAGCACCGGCUAACUACGUGCCAGCCGCCGCAGUAAAAC